UGGGAUGCCGCCCGCUUGACGU
rnacentral:miRNA from 1 species